rnacentral:tRNA from 1 species
GGAGAGGUCGCAUAGCCCGGUUGAGUGCGCGCGCUUGGAGAGCGUGUGACCCGAAAGGGUCCGGGAGUUCGAAUCUCCCCCUCUCCG